AAGCAGCGCGUCAUGGUUUUC
rnacentral:miRNA from 2 species